GUAGGUGGCAAGCGUUGUCCGGAAUUAUUGGGCGUAAAGCGCGCGCAGGCGGGGUCCUUUAAGGUCUGAUGUGAAAGCCCACGGGCUCAACCGUGGAGGGUCAUUGGAAACUGGGGGACUUGAGUACAGAAGAGGAAAGCGGAAUUCCAAGUGUAGCGGUGAAAUGCGUAGAGAUUUGGAGGAACACCAGUGGCGAAGGCGGCUUUCUGGUCUGUAACUGACGCUGAGGCGCGAAAGCGCGGGGAGCAAACAGGAUUAGAUACCCUGGUAGUCCACGCCGUAAACGAUGAGUGCUAAGUGUUAGGGGGUUUCCGCCCCUUAGUGCUGCAGCUAACGCAUUAAGCACUCCGCCUGGGGAGUACGGCCGCAAAGGCUG
rnacentral:rRNA from 1 species